CAGUAGCCGCGGUAAUACGUAGGGUGCAAGCGUUAAUCGGAAUUACUGGGCGUAAAGCGUGCGCAGGCGGUUUGUUAAGACAGAUGUGAAAUCCCCGGGCUCAACCUGGGAACUGCAUUUGUGACUGGCAAGCUAGAGUGUGGCAGAGGGGGGUGGAAUUCCGCGUGUAGCAGUGAAAUGCGUAGAUAUGCGGAGGAACACCGAUGGCGAAGGCAGCCCCCUGGGCCAACACUGACGCUCAUGCACGAAAGCGUGGGGAGCAAACAGGAUUAGAUACCCCAGUAGUCCCUGUCUCUUAUAA
rnacentral:rRNA from 1 species